rnacentral:tRNA from 1 species
GGGUACAGCUCAAUAGCAGAGCGCAUGCUUAGCAUGCACAAGGUCCUGGGUUCAAUCCCCAGUACCUCCA